CACUAUAAACGACAUGUGCGGUGCCAAAUGAUUUUGGAGAAUAGGGAAUUAGGUGAAAAUCCUAAGCGAACCCAUCACUGUAAAGUGGAGCGACUUACACAUGCCACUGAGUUUACUCGGGAAGGCGUAAGAUUCGUGAUGAUGCUGAGCCAGGAGACCUGCCGACAAGCCAAACAAUGA
rnacentral:ncRNA from 1 species